rnacentral:rRNA from 1 species
UACGUAGGGCGCAAGCGUUGUCCGGAAUUAUUGGGCGUAAAGAGCUCGUAGGUGGUGUGUCGCGUCUGCCGUGAAAGCCCGGGGCUUAACUCCGGGUCUGCGGUGGAUACGGGCAGACUAGAGGCAGGUAGGGGAGAACGGAAUUCCCGGUGUAGCGGUGAAAUGCGCAGAUAUCGGGAGGAACACCGGUGGCGAAGGCGGUUCUCUGGGCCUGUACUGACGCUGAGGAGCGAAAGCUAGGGUAGCAAACGGG